AUUGACAAUGCAUGCUGCCUCAAACAAACUCACAUACUCACUGAAUGGGGAAAUGAGGGCAUCUUCUACCAUUGAUAUUUUCUAUAUAUUCACGGGAACACAGAGCAUUGAUUUGAGACGAUAGUGCCUGAGAGAGAUCAUAUGCCAUCAAAUAAUGGAGGCACAGAUAAUGCCUGGUGAGGAGCAGACCCGGGGGCUGGCAGGUCCUCCAGUCCUAUGGGCAACAAGUUGGACUGGUGAUCAUCUGCUACAAAACCAAAGUCAUGCACAUCAACAUCAGUACAUCAAAAGCAAUAAGAAUUAAUGAACAGAUCAUCGAAAACACCUAUUACUUCACAUACCAUUUACCACGAUGGAGGUACCAGCCAAGACAUUCACUUUCACAUUCUAAAAGGAUAAAUUAAGCACAUGCAACAUUUACAAGACUAAAACAAAGCUGGAAAUCUAACCAAUACAGCUCCAAAACCAAACUCCAAAUAUACCAAAGCUGUGUAUUGUCAACACUACUCUACGGAGCAGAAUGCUGUAAAACAACAGAACAGGACACCCAUAAAUUAUCUACCUUCCAUACAUCAUGCCUACAAAAAAUCAUACAUAUCUUAUGUCCACACACCAUCUCCAACAACAACCUUCUUAGAAUAAUUCAGCAAGACAAAAUACAUACAGAGAUACCAGAGGACCUGGAUCGGACAAUCAAAGUUGCAUUACAUUGGACCCAGGGGGUAAAUGAAAGAGAGGGAGGCCCAAAAUAAUAUGGCGCAGGACCAUUGAGAGAGAGCUACAACACCACCAACAAAACUGGGGAACCAUGGAGAAGAAGGCCAGAGACAGACAGUGGGACUUUGUUGCUGCCCUAUGAGCCAGCUGGCGUAAUGGGAAUGACUGACUGACUGAAAUGUCUGUUAAUCAGUAACUAAUGCCAAUACAUUAGUUGAUCCCAUCAUUAUGCACAGUUAAGGAGAAUUGCUUUCAGACAGACGAAUGACAAAGUCUGCAUUCAUCUGCAAUCAAAUGUAUUGAUAAAUGUAUUUUCUAUUAGUUCUAAAUGCUAUUCAAAAUGAUGAUGAUGUUGAGAUUGUAGAAAUGUUGAUUCCUGAGUUUCCAGGUUUGUGUCACUAAACUUUAUAACAUGUUUGUGAUAUGCCACAAAAAAAUCACAACUAAAAUGACUUAAAAGUUAUUUUGUUAAGCUGAAGGACCAACAUAUUUGCUUAUUGUUUGUUUUGUGUCUGUGUGUUUCUCCCAGUCUCUGAUAACAGAUACCAAACUAAGUUUUUCCAUAAGACAUUUACAAAGACAGCUUGUCUUUGCAAACCCAAGACUGUUUUUUAACCAUUAACGUUCAUCCAAAUGCACCUUGUAGCUUAUCUUCAUAUUUCUCACUGCCAUUGUUUAGCUGUUACAGUUGUCCCCUAGUGUUUAGCUUUUCAGACAUGUGGUGGGUAAGAAAGGACACUGCACAAGUUGGGUUCUUUCUAUGCAAAUGAUAUCUGUGCUUACAUGUGUGUUUUUGUGUACAUGUGCGUGGGUCGCAUGCAGACAUGGCAGGACAGAUUGAGUUUGGAUCCCAUAUUAACUGUUUAACAUAUAUCAUCUCAACCAUCUGCCUCCUAGAAAUCAAAUGGCAGACUGAAACACUUUGACACUACCUGUAACACUGAGAAUCAGACUUUCUGAAUGCCUCAGUUUCAAGGCUUUGCAUUGUACAGCUGCAGAGUGGGUGGUCAAACUCUCUUUCAUAAAUGUGGUUCAGAAAAUUAGAUGUAACUCAUGUUGUCUCAACACAAGUAAUGGUGAUUGAGGGUUCAGGAGGCAUGUAGGUGUAUGUGUUUGUGGGGGUGUAUAACAGUGAAACCCAGUUAGACUUUCACACACCAGUUAAAAUAUAUCUUCUCAUUAUCAC